rnacentral:rRNA from 1 species
UACGUAGGUGGCAAGCGUUAUCCGGAAUUACUGGGCGUAAAGCGCACGCAGGCGGCUUUUUAAGUUUGACGUGAAAACUCCUAGCUUAACUGGGAGAGGACGUUGAAGACUGGGAGGCUUGAGGUAAUGAGAGGGGUGCGGAAUUCCCGGUGUAGUGGUGGAAUGCGUAGAGAUCGGGAGGAACACCAGUGGCGAAAGCGGCACCCUGGCAUUGACCUGACGCUCAGGUGCGAAAGCGUGGGGAGCGAACGGG